rnacentral:rRNA from 1 species
GACGAACGCUGGCGGCGUGCUUAACACAUGCAAGUCGAACGGGUCUGCCCUGUUUUUUGCGGGGUGGGUCAGUGGCGAACGGGUGAGUAACACGUGAGUAACCUGCCCCUCACUUCUGGAUAACCGCUUGAAAGGGUGGCUAAUACGGGGUGUUCUGGCUGUGCCGCAUGGUGUGGCUGGGAAAGAUUCACUUUUGUGGUGUUUUGGUGGGGGAUGGGCUCGCGGCCUAUCAGCUUGUUGGUGGGGUGAUGGCCUGCCAAGGCUUUGACGGGUAGCCGGCCUGAGAGGGUGGGCGGUCACACUGGGACGGAGAUACGGCCCAGACUCCUGCGGGAGGCAGCAGUGGGGGGUAUUGCACAAUGGGCGGAAGCCUGAUGCAGCGACGUCGCGUGAGGGAUGGAGGCCUUCGGGUUGUGAACCUCUUUCGCCGGUGAAGAAGGUCCUGCUAUUUGUGGUGGGGUUGACGGUAGCCGGGUUAUGAAGCGCCGGCUAACUACGUG